rnacentral:rRNA from 1 species
GACGAACGCUGGCGGCGUGCGUAAUACAUGCAAGUCGAGCGGGCCGGGUCUACGGGCUCGGUUAGCGGCGGACGGGUGAGUAACGCGUGGGGGAUCUGUCCUGCCGGUGGGGGAUAACUGCCCGAAAGGGUGGCUAAUCCCGCAUGUGUUCAUUGCCGGGGGGUGAUGAAGAAAGCCUGGAGACGGGUGCCGGAGGGGGAGCCCGCGUCCCAUUAGGUGGUUGGUGGGGUAACGGCCUACCAAGCCGAUGAUGGGUAGCCGGUCUGAGAGGAUGGCC